rnacentral:rRNA from 1 species
AUUGAACGCUGGCGGCAUGCCUAACACAUGCAAGUCGAGCGAGCAGAGGACUGGUGAGCAAUGUAUGGGGACGUGGCUGAUGGAGGGGUAUAACUAGGGGAAACGGUAGCUACUACCGCAUACCAUCAGAUGAACCCAUAUGGGAUUAGCUUGCAGGUGUGGAAACGGCUCACCUAGGCGACGCUCCCUAGCUGGUCUGAGAGGAUGAUCAGCCACACUGGGACUGAGACACGGCCCAGACUCCUACGGGAGGCAGCAGUGGGGAAUAUUGCACAAUGGGCGCAAGCCUGAUGCAGCCAUGCCGCGUGUAUGAAGAAGGCCUUCGGGUUGUAAAGUACUUUCAGUCGGGAGGCGUUACCGACAGAAGAAGCACCGGCUAACUCCGUGCCAGCCGCCGCGGUAAUAC